UUGGAGGUUGUGCCCUUGAGGCGUGGCUUCCGGAGCUAACGCGUUAAGUCGACCGCCUGGGGAGUACGGCCGCAAGGUUAAAACUCAAAUGAAUUGACGGGGGCCCGCACAAGCGGUGGAGCAUGUGGUUUAAUUCGAUGCAACGCGAAGAACCUUACCUGGCCUUGACAUCCAGAGAACUUAGCAGAGAUGCUUUGGUGCCUUCGGGAACUGUGAGACAGGUGCUGCAUGGCUGUCGUCAGCUCGUGUUGUGAAAUGUUGGGUUAAGUCCCGCAACGAGCGCAACCCUUAUCCUUUGUUGCCAGCGGUUCGGCCGGGAACUCAAAGGAGACUGCCGGUGAUAAACCGGAGGAAGGUGGGGAUGACGUCAAGUCAUCAUGGCCCUUACGGCCAGGGCUACACACGUGCUACAAUGGCGCAUACAAAGAGAAGCGACCUCGCGAGAGCAAGCGGACCUCAUAAAGUGCGUCGUAGUCCGGAUUGGAGUCUGCAACUCGACUCCAUGAAGUCGGAAUCGCUAGUAAUCGUAGAUCAGAAUGCUACGGUGAAUACGUUCCCGGGCCUUGUACACACCGCCCGUCACACCAUGGGAGUGGGUUGCUAAAAGAAGUAGGUAGCUCAACCUUUGGGAGCGAGG
rnacentral:rRNA from 2 species